AAUUAUGUGCCUCCUCGACCCUACUUUCGCUGGGCGCAACAACCAUAGCGGCGGAUCCUCAUGUUCCGCGGUGAUUCCACCCGAUCAGUGCCUCCCCUACCCUUCUCACUAGUUGGGCACAGCAACCAUGGCGGCGGAUCCGCAGUGUCCGCGGCCGCUCCACCUCGGGCAGCGCGGAUCACGGCUAGCGGCCCGAUGUAGGCGUAGUGGGUACAGGCGCGGUCUGCUGUUCUGCCCCGCGCUCCCUCCAUGUAUCCCCUGCGCAUCCGGUGGCCAGACGCUUCUUCCACUCCGGCCUAGUGGCUCACGAGGCAGCAACUUCACACCACCACGCCGCCUAGGCUUGAUUUCUUCCAUUGCAUGAAGUGCAAUUGCCGCCUUGGAAUGAGACUAUCAGAACACAAAUGUCGGGAGAAGGGGCUAGAGACAAACUGUCCAAUUUGCGGUGACCUCCUAUUCACAUCAAGUGCUGCAGUUAGAGCUCUUCCUUGUGGUCACUUCAUGCAUUCAGCUUGCUUUCAGUUGUAUUGUAUGAUUACUCUCCACGAACAAUACAGUUCUGAUUCCUGACGCUCGAGGGUGACUUUACUUGUGGUCUUGUUAUUUAAACUCGCUCCUAAGAUGCAAAGUGAGGACUGCUUUAGUAUUUGGGGAGUAUGCAGUCGGAUAUUUGGCUCGAGUCAUGUUGAGUGACUGAAUGUAAUAGACAAACUUCAUUGGUAUUGGUAUCUGAAGAAAGAAGAGGAAGCAUUGUAAAUCGUUGCUAUUAUAUGAGAUGCCAAUCGAGAAGUGCCAGUUUCAUUUUGACUUGUUUGGGCUACAUGCUGUAGAGGUGUACUUUGGCAUGCUUGAUGCAUUCUUGGCUGCUGAAGAGCUUCCAAAGGAAUACCGCAAUAGGUGUCAGGAUAUUCUUUGUAAUGAUCGUGAAAGAAAAGGGAGAUCUCAAUUUCAUUGGUAAAAUCUCGUAAUGCAAAUCCCCCUCCGCCUCCUCAGUUCAGAGUCAUUGUUCUAUAUUAGUGGGUAUGAAAAACAAUUCUAACUAUCCUUGCUGGAAAUUGGUUGGUGGUGUCCAGUGCAGACUAAAAAACUUGAGUUGAUUUUGCUUUCCACAAUAUGUUCAUCUCAGCCACAAGGUAGAGAGAGAUCACUAGAUAACAAAUCUUUCAGUAAAAAGUAAAUUACAGCCAUUGAUGAACCAUAGGUUUGCAAGUUUCUUGUAUCGAGACUUAAAAACACGUAAUUAAUUAUACUGGCCUACUAAACGAGGAACCUAUAUUGCUGAGAUUCAACAUUCAGGAAAGUAUUACAUAUGGAAAAUCCUCUACAACAGACCAGACUGUUAGAAUUGUUUUUUAUGGUGUUUAUUUGAAUUUCGUCAGUGUGAAUACUGAAUAAGCAGGAAACCUUCGAGAGAUGUCAGUGCAACAUUCCUUAUGCAACUGCUACUGCAAUUGAUUCCUUUCCAAGCGCCUUCUAUAGAGCUUAGCAGCAUCUAUCUUCUUGAAUUUACAUGGAUUCAAUUUAGUUACUUUACUUGUAAUAAGCAGCAUCAUGCUCAUUGUUGAAUAAUUUCUUUUUUAUCGGAUUUGCUAUGAACCGAUAACUUUAAUCUUUGCUUCUUUUCAUCAAAUCA